AAAUGAGAUGCCUUUGAAUAGUAUCUUAGAGGUGGAAUUAUUCGACGUCUGGGGGAUCGACUUCAUGGGACCAUUCCCACCAUCUUUUUCAAAUCAAUACAUAUUA
rnacentral:rRNA from 1 species